AGUUUAACCAAAAAAAUUGUAUUAAAUAUAUCACAAAAAUAUAUUUGAAGAUUUCAUCUUCUUUUCCUCGAGCUGUCACAAAUGUCAAUACGUAACGAGAGUGUGUGCGUGCGGCUCUCGUGGUUUGCUCGUGGUAUGCGCCGUAGUGCUGCCAUAUGGGCUUUUACUGAUAGAUGGCGCUGGAGAUUCGGUGGUGUUCUUUACUAUCCAAACUAUACUACUUACCGUAAGGAAUUAAAUACUACAGAGACUAGCAAGCGGAUAACUGACAUUUUAAAGCGGUUAUCGAUUGCCGGUAUUUUCAAAAAAACGAUUUUUCUUGCAUUUUUUUAAAGUAGUCGGCACAUUGCGACGUCUAUAUAUUGCCUCAGUUCGUUGACGUAUAAGUUUGAUAGCAUUGAAGAAAGCGAUUGUACCAUUUGAACAAAGCAACCUGCUCUCCUGUUUUGUAUUCAACUCGCUAAAUUUGUUGUUGCUUUCACAUUUAUAUUUUUUUGUAAUGAAAGCAGCACUCAAAGAUAGCGAGCAGAGAAAUGGCGAAUAGAAGACGGCUAUUAUUAUCUGAUAUUGCUUCUAGUAUGCUUUAUUGAUGAAAAUGCACUGAAAUCGCCUACAGCGCAUAACCUUAAAUGAACUUUAACGCAAAAAGAAGUUCUACAAGAAAAAGUAACAUUGUCAUAGAGGGUUUUGGAUUCCUGUAUUUGGC